CGGAAUUUUCCCUAUAAAAACCGCUUGGGUCAGGAUGGAGGUGUGUGGGCAUAGGGGAAAACCUUUCCUGAGGCUGACUCCUUGUUGCACACCCAGGGACGAUUCCUGGGCUCGGCACUGUCUUUUUCUGUGGCUGGCUAGAUAGAAUUUGACCGCUAAUAAAAUUAUUUUUUCCUUAUUUUUAAUCUGGCUGAAUAAAUUCUCAUUUAUAACAAUCUUGGUGACCCCUUACGUGAUCUGGUUUGGAGGUAUCCAGGGAGUUCCCUAUCCUCGAUCUGGGUGGCGCCCUGCUGAUUUCAGCAGCUGGACAGGACUGAGGAACUCCACAGAACCAACCAGAUUCCAAAAACAGCCAAAAAUCCACGUUAAGGAAAGGAUAUAAAUGGGCCCAGAGCUCUUGGAACUCGGAGCUAAAUCUCCGAGGCUGCAGCAGCAAACUUUCACUCGUAAAAUCAACGUGCAUGAAGAAUCCAUGUGGGAAAAGGAGCCGUAAGUAUUGCAUGGUUGAGUGGGGUGUGUUGGGUGUGUGUGUGAGACGUGACAUAGUCACGGCGUGAGUGCGGACGCCAAUAAAACUGCAGUUCCACUAGCCUGAGAGGGAGGUGGUCAGCUACGGGGGAAGCGAAAAGGUUCCCGUAUACUCACAACACGCAUACAACCUGAAACUCGGUGAGUUACAGGGAUCCAUCCAUGGACCGGUCAGGGAGGGAAGGUACGUUCUCGUGGACUCGAGAAACUGGUAAACCUCACUGGCUCUGGGCUCGGGGAGCCCAACAAACAAGUAAAAGAGAGCUCACUGUUCUUCCAACUGAAAACUCAUGGACCAGUUCACCGUGAGGUAACUAGGUUGGCAAGGUUCGGUCGGGAACAGACCGGUUUAAACACUUGGUAAGCUUCGGUCCGGGACAGGACCGAAAUACACAUUUUAGCACGCGGGUUGCUGACUUCUUGGAACGGCUUGCAGACACUGACUUGGAAUAUGGUAAGGAAAACCUUUAAUAUGGGAAAAAAAAACAGUAAGGUGCGGGGGGGACCAAAAGGGAAAAAUCCUAGGCCAGGAAAGGGUGAACACCUGACAACAAGAAAAGGUAAGCAUUCAAAAACAAGAAGGGCGGAAACAGAGGAAUUGCUUGAGAUUCCGAGGGAAAGUCCCCUGGGUUGGAUGUUAGAACACUGGGAGAACUGUUCUGUGAGAUGGAAAAGGUCCAAAGAAAAAAUGAUACACUAUUGUGUAGAAGUAUGGGGAAAUAUGGAAAUUGGAAAAUACCAAUACUGGCCUGUUUUUGGUACCUUCGAAAAUGAGCUCUGCCAAGCACUUUUGGAUCACUUGUACGAGGAAGAGGAAUGGGACGAUGAGGAAUUGGAUUAUGCCAGGCUAUGGGAAUAUGCCAGUGCGUGGCUGUUCCCUAUUAAGACCUCUGGCAACAAGGUAAGCUCGGAAAAAACUUGGGAACCCCUAGGAAACCUGCCCCCUCCAUACCAGGUUCCCCCAGCUCGAGCACGGGUCCCGGCAGCUCCCCCAUCAGCGCCCCUGGCUCAGCCUGCACUGCCACCUAAUGUACAAGUCCCUGAUGCAGGUGCUCCGGGACCUUCUCAAGCCCCUGCCUCCACACAGCAGGGGGACACACACGCACACACAUAUCACACUGGGGAAAGCACAUCUCCUCCUGCCAGUAGAACCCGGCAGAAAACGAGGAGAGAAAACACGGGAGAUAGCGAUGAUGAAAGGGACAGACCUAAUCUAUACCCCAGGGCACCUCAGAUGGACUACCCCCGGGACCCCCUCCCACAUCUCCCCCACUUUUAUUUACUAAAUACACCUCUCCCAGAGUUUUAACUACAGUCCUUUUGAAGAGGGCAAGUGCAACUAAAAUUAUAAUGAUAAUUAGAAAAAUCCAUGAGAGUCCCUUCAGAAUGGAGGCUGUCCACCUGGGGACACCCCACUACGAGAACAGUCUAUUUACAGGGUCCACAGCUAAAGUUUCUGUUUUGAUGAUUUCACUUCUCUCUGGAUCUGCUGGAUGUUGGCUUGAAUGGAGGUGCUUCUUGAUGACAGGUUGAAACAGCACAACCCCUCGAAGUCCUCGCAGCUGUGGCCAUGGGCGAGCAGCAGGAAAUCAAUCGCCACUCUAUUUUGCAAGGUGGCGUGCCUGGUGAUCUGCUUGUCCGCCAAUAGAUUGGAAAGAGUGGGGGAUGAGGCAUUGGCAUGCUUGAUAAUCCAGCAGUCCAGGUGAGAAAGCUCACCAAGGGCCUUAGCAGUUGCAUACCAUGGGAGAAAGAUGGAGGCAGUGACCCUCCUUGUCUUACCCCAAUUGUAAAUUUCAGAAUCGCAAUUUGCAUCGAAUUGAGCAUAGAAUCUUUUUGCAUGAGCCAAUUGUCUCUCUUUCUUCCAAUCCAGAAUUGGUGUUUUAUUCAGAGUAAGGGUAGCAAGCUUGCCAAGGCUGCAUGGGCCCCCCUGGAACCGAGAGGGGAUUCCCGACCAUACUCUGUCCCCACAGGCAACCGCGUUGUCCGGCAGUGAUGAGACUGAGGUGUCUGGGUUGUGACACAUCGGGGGAUCUGCCGUGGUGGUCUCAUCAAGAGAAGCAGCUCCUUCGGCAGGACUCCCGAGAGAAGCGGCCGGAGCG